rnacentral:rRNA from 1 species
CCGCCGGCGACCGGCGCACGGGUGAGUAACACGUAUGCAACCUGGCCGUGACAGAUGGAUAACCGGGAGAAAUCCCGCCUAAUACAACAUAAUGCCGGGAGGGGACAUCCCCUGCCGGUCAAAGGGGGCGACCCCGGUCACGGAUGGGCAUGCGGCGCAUUAGGUAGUUGGUGGGGUAACGGCCCACCAAGCCGACGAUGCGUAGGGGUUCUGAGAGGAAGGUCCCCCACAUUGGAACUGAGACACGGUCCAAACUCCUACGGGAGGCAGCAG